rnacentral:rRNA from 1 species
AGUGAACGCUGGCGGUAGGCCUAACACAUGCAAGUCGAACGGCAGCACAGUAAGAGCUUGCUCUUACGGGUGGCGAGUGGCGGACGGGUGAGGAAUACAUCGGAAUCUACUUUUUCGUGGGGGAUAACGUAGGGAAACUUACGCUAAUACCGCAUACGACCUACGGGUGAAAGCAGGGGAUCUUCGGACCUUGCGCGAUUGAAUGAGCCGAUGUCGGCUUAGCUAGUUGGCGGGGUAAAGGCCCACCAAGGCGACGAUCCGUAGCUGGUCUGAGAGGAUGAUCAGCCACACUGGAACUGAGACACGGUCCAGACUCCUACGGGAGGCAGCAGUGGGGAAUAUUGGACAAUGGGCGCAAGCCUGAUCCAGCCAUACCGCGUGGGUGAAGAAGGCCUUCGGGUUGUAAAGCCCUUUUGUUGGGAAAGAAAAGCAGCAGGUUAAUACCCCGCUGUUCUGACGGUACCCAAAGAAUAAGCACCGGCUAACUUCGU